rnacentral:rRNA from 1 species
AGCAGUAGCCGCGGUAAUACCGAGGGUGCGAGCGUUAAUCGGAUUUACUGGGCGUAAAGCGUGCGUAGGCGGCUUCUUAAGUCGGAUGUGAAAUCCCUGAGCUUAACUUAGGAAUUGCAUUCGAUACUGGGAAGCUAGAGUAUGGGAGAGGAUGGUAGAAUUCCAGGUGUAGCGGUGAAAUGCGUAGAGAUCUGGAGGAAUACCGAUGGCGAAGGCAGCCAUCUGGCCUAAUACUGACGCUGAGGUACGAAAGCAUGGGGAGCAAACAGGAUUAGAUACCCCCGUAGUCCCUGUCUCUUAUAC